GACGAACGCUGGCGGCGUGCUUAACACAUGCAAGUCGAACGGAAAGGCCCUGCUUUUUGUGGGGGCUCGAGUGGCGAACGGGUGAGUAACACGUGAGUGACCUGCGCUUGACUUUGGGAUAACUUCAGGAAACUGGGGCUAAUACCGGAUAGGAUCUCCGGCUGCAUGGUGGGGGUUGGAGAGUUUGGUCGGUUGGGGGUGGACUCGUGGCGUUUCGGCUUGUUGGUGGGGUGGUGGUUUACCAAGGCUUGGACGGGUAGCCGGCCUGAGAGGGUGACCGGCCACAUUGGGCCAGAGAUACAGCCCAGACUCCUGUGGGAGGCAGCAGUGGGGGAUAUUGAGCCAUGGGCGGCAGCCUGAUGCAGGAAAGCCGCGUGUGGGAUGUCGGAAUUUCGGUUGUAAACCGCUUUCGCCUGUGACGAAGCGUGAGUGAGGGUAAUGGGUAAAGAAGCACCGGCUAACUACGUG
rnacentral:rRNA from 1 species